rnacentral:rRNA from 1 species
GACAGAGGGUGCAAACGUUGUUCGGAUUUACUGGGCGUAAAGCGCGUGUAGGCGGCUUCGUAAGUUGGAUGUGAAAUCCCACGGCUCAACCGUGGACGUGCAUCCAAAACUACGUCGCUGAGUCUCGGAGAGGAAGGUGGAAUGCUUGGUGUAGAGGUGAAAAUUCGUAGAUAUCAAGCAGAACACCUGCGGCGAAGGCGGCCUCUGGACGAUGACUGACGUGAGACGACGAAGCGUGGGGAGCAAACAGG